rnacentral:rRNA from 1 species
CUACGGGAGGCAGCAGUGGGGGAUAUUGCACAAUGGGGGAAACCCUGAUGCAGCGACGCCGCGUGGGUGAAGAAGCGCCUCGGCGCGUAAAGCCCUGUCAGCAGGGAAGAAAAUGACGGUACCUGAAGAAGAGCCCCGGCUAACUACGUGCCAGCAGCCGCGGUAAUACGUAGGGGGCAAGCGUUAUCCGGAUUUACUGGGUGUAAAGGGGGCGCAGACGGCGAUGCAAGCCAGGAGUGAAAGCCCGGGGCCCAACCCCGGGACUGCUCUUGGAACUGCGUGGCUAGAGGGCAGGAGGGGCAGGG